UUCGAUGGGGCGUGCACAGAAAUAGCGUUUGUGUGGGGCGCUUUUAGAAAGAGCGUCUGAAUAUAUACUUCUUUUAUCCUCUUCUCCUCCUCUUUUUACAUAACCUACGUUUUUACAGAAGAAAAAAAAACGACGAAACCUAAGUAAAAAUCUAGGGCAAUACCUAAAUCUCAUGUGACGGCCAUUUGAUUGGGUGCGGAGAAACGAGUUCUUGUGAAAGAAACGACUAAUCUUAUUCGUUAAUCGGGUGCGGGCAAAUUUGAUUGAAGAUUAAAGAUGUUGAGCAGAAUAACGUCGAGAUUUGCACAAGGAAAAAAGAUGAAUAAUAAGAAACGCAAAGGUAAAGGUCCAAUGGAGCCUGAAAUAGACCCUAAUGUUGGAGAUUUGGAAGUUCCAGAUACCGGGUUCGAUGAAGAUAGCGAAGAUGAAACAACACCGUCCGUGGUAUCCCUAGAUAACUACAAUUGCCUGGAAGAUAGUGACAAACACGCUUCUACAGAUAUUACAUAUUCAAGCGAUCCAAAAUUCAGGAUGGGGACGUUUAUUAGCCAUGGAAAUAGGAGAAGCAUCACACCCAG